rnacentral:rRNA from 1 species
AGAGUGAACGCUGGCGGCAGGCCUAACACAUGCAAGUCGAACGGCAGCACAGGAGAGCUUGCUCUCUGGGUGGCGAGUGGCGGACGGGUGAGGAUAACGUCGGAAUCUGCCUAUUUGUGGGGGAUAACGUAGGGAAACUUACGCUAAUACCGCAUACGACCUACGGGUGAAAGCGGAGGACCUUCGGGCUUCGCGCAGAUAGAUGAGCCGAGUCGGAUUAGCUAGUUGGCGGGGUAAAGGCCCACCAAGGCGACGAUCCGUAGCUGGUCUGAGAGGAUGAUCAGCCACACUGGAACUGAGACACGGUCCAGACUCCUACGGGAGCAGCAGUGGGGAAUAUUGGACAAUGGGCGCAAG